GUUCUUCAAGGUAGUUGCUCUCUGAGAGCUUCUUGCCCCCGCCUUCGGCAGCCUUCACCAGAGACAGAUUCCUCUUGCUGUUAGGAGGAGCUAGAAACUCACAGACGGAAGAAUAGGAGCUCAGGGCAGACUUGCUGAGACCUUUGAAACCAGUGCCCUUUCGAAAGGGAGCGAGCAGGGGAAAGGCCAGCGCAGGCAAAAGCAGCUGAACCACCCACCCCACCCCCCAGGACAGGCACAACAGCUCUGGCUAGACAUUUCCAGUCUUCCUUUUUCUAAAGAGCUUCAGCGCAGGGGGUUGGUAGAGGGAGCUAAUGUAUUAACCAGGAUUCCAAGCAGGGAGAGAGAGCAGCACUUACUUGAAAUAAAUAUUUAACAAACCACCUGGACUGGAGGUCAGCUGGGGGCUCUGUUCCACGUUACUCUCACUCUGGACACCAGGCUGACGUGAGAAACACCAACUGGAGUACCGCUGGUUGCUAUGGAGAGAGAAAGAAGUGGGAGAAUUUGUAUUGGCUCUUAAAAUAUCUGCUCCCAUGUCAUUGGUCAAAGCAGGUCCCGUUCCACAUCUAACUUCAAAGAGGAUAUGGAAGUAUACUCCCAUCACGUGUCUGGAAAGAAGGAAACAGGAUGUUUGUGAAGAGCCUGAGAAUACUACACGACUCUUUCAGUUGCAAAUGACAUAAACCAAAUUUUAAUUGGCCGAAGCAGAAAAGGGAAUUUGCUGACUCACGUAAGUGUAGGGGUUGUUUGGCUUCAAACACGGUUGGAUCUAGAUAGUCAAAGAUGUCUUCAGUGUUCCAUCUCUCUUCUGUCUGGUCCUUAUUCUCAGCUAGCAGCCUCCCAAGUCACGACAGAAAUAGCCAUCAGCAGUUUCACAAUUAUUUUCCAUCAACUAUAAAAGGGAGAGUCUCAGGGCAGUGUGGUGGCAUAGUGGCUGAGUUCGCACACUCCGCUUUGGCAGCCCGGGGUUCACUGGUUCGGAUCCUGGGCAUGGACCUACACACUGCUCAUCAAGCCAUGCUGAGGGAGCAUCCCACAUAGAAGAACUAGAAGGACUUACAAGUAGGAUAUACAACUAUGUACUGGGGCUUUGAGGAGAAAAGAAAAAAUUAUUUAAAAAAAAGGGAGAAUCUCUUCCCACUCUGUUCCACAAAAGUACCUGGAAUGAUUUCCAUUGGCCUAGAUUGAGUCACAUGUCCAUUCCUGGUCCACUCUCUCUGACUCUGAUUAGUCUGGCCUGAUUCAGGUGCCCAGGCUUUUGGAGCUGGGAAGUGAGUCAGCCCCACUUGAAAACUGUGGAUGGAUAAUGGGGGAGGGUUGUCUUCUCCAAAUGAAGAGAUGAUUCCAUUACUAGAAGAAGGGACACUGGGCAGGCCAAAACAAAAGAUAUUCAUCGUGUUCUCUCUUCCCUUUUGUGGUGGGUCAGAUGCACCCGUGAUGGAAUCCUGUUGGAAUGUGUGACCCCAGGCUUAUACCUGCUACCGCCCUUCAAUUUAUGCUCAAGGAAAGGCUAGGGCUUACUUCUCUGAGCAAGGUGUGGCGGGGAGGAGCUGCUUAGAAGUGGGCUACGGAAGAGGAAUGAUCAAAGAUAAGUUGAGAUUGGAGCCCAGAGAGUGAGAGAGCAAUAAUGCCACUAACAGAAAUUGAGGGAUGAGAAGGAGAAUCAAUUUUGGAGGGGAGAGUUGAGCUCUACAUCUUGAAUUUGAAAUGACUGGGAUAUGCACGUAGAGCAAUCCACAGGCAUUUGGAGCUGCAGAAGCAUAACUCUGGAUAACUCUGGAUAACUCUGGGAGAGCUAGAUAUUGACUUGAAAAUCAUCUGAUGAUAAGAGGUAGGCUAUCCGGAGGCCUGAGACACCUGAGGGAGAAAAGGAAAGAAAAGAAUGUGGUCUUCCUUGGGAAAUAUCCCCAGCUAGUGGGUGAGACAAGGAAGGGGAGCCACCAAAUGUGACUGAAGAAGAUUGGUUAUAAGGAUGAAAAGGAGAUAAAGGGUAGUUUCUACUUCUCAGAGAUGUCCUCAACUCUCCUCAACAGGGAAAGGAUGAAAAACACUCUCCAUGUCAUUUCCUCUGACCUCACUCUCACUUCUGAUUUUCCUUCUUUUGAUCCUGGAUUGUAUCGUUAUAUCUCUGUGAUCUACAAACACCCCUGCACAUCCAUGUAUAUGAUGAUAUGCUUGAUUAUACUUACAUUUGUUUCUGUAUGUCUUUUGAUUGUCAGUUGCCUGAUUCACCUACUACCUGUUGAUCUAUCCCUGUUUUUACUCAAAAGAUUAUUAGAAGAUGAUGCUAAGCGGAAGUCUUAUCGUAUUGAUUAAAAACCUGAGCUUUCUCAGCAGAACUGGGCUCUAAUCUGUGAUGUCACUUACCACUUUUGUGGCAUAUUUUAAAUUACUCAAGCUCUGAGACUUAAUUUCCUAAUCUGUGAAAUGGGGAUAAUGAUAUCCACUUCCUAGAGUCACAGAAAUGACUAAAUGACAUGACUUAAUUGGAGCUCUUAGCAUAGUGCAUGGCACAUAAAAGUAGCUACCAUAUAUUGAGAAUUUAUUUUCAAUAAUAACGGUAAUAAAGCAGAAAAUUUGAAGCCAUGAAAAGCCUUCAUAAUAUUGUUGAUUAAAAAGGCAGACUGUCAAAUAACAUUUACAAUAUGACCUCAUUUUUACUAAAACACAUGCACACACACACACAUACACACACACACACACAAACACAGGACUGGAAGGAUAUAUAGCAAAGUGUAGCAGUGAUAGUAUGGGUAGGAUUACAGGUGAUUUUUGUUUUAUUAUAUUUUACUUUGCUCAUCUGCAGUUAGCUGUAUGUUAUUUUGCUUAUCUGUGAUUCCUGUAGUUUGUACAAUACAUAGCCACUCCUUAUGGAAUAAUAAGAAAACAUGUCUCUAUAAAAGACAGAGAAACAGUGAGUGAUUUUUCUGCAAGACCCAGCAAAGCUGAACUCACAAGAUGCCCUGGGGUGGGUAAGGUACCAGCUUAUUUCGUCAGGCUUCAGUUGUCCUAUUUUUCCGUGUGUUUGUUUUUUCACUCUCCCAGGCUGUCUUUGAGGAAUGGAAGUACUGCUCUCAGGGAAAUCCCACCCCACAGACUCUAGGCUCUUCUGACAUGAAAGAGCCUGGAGCAGUCCAUCCCUUAUCUGGAUGUGGGCACAGAUUGCCACUAAAUUCUUCCCUUCGCAGCUACCCUUGAGGGUCUGUGGUAAUAGAAAGGAGCAGUGCUGUAAUGCACGAGAAAUCUUCUAAGCAACUGAACCCAGAAUGUUACCAUCUGCAUGUACUUCUUAUUUUUUGGAUCAGCAGAUGUACUGCUCCAACAAUUAGGGACAGCUUGCAUCCCACGGUACACAGUGGCUGACAAAUGGGGAAAGCACCUCAGAGGCUGGGACAUGACGGGAAGGUGAGGGGCUAAUUCAUCCAGCAGAUCAAUCAUUUGAAUAAUUAAUAUGUAACUUCCCUAACUCUUAAUAGCUGUAGGAGUUCACACAGACCAAUGGCCUUUAAGUAAUUAGGCUUUGAGAGGGGAAGAUUAGCAUAAACUUAAAUCUCUCUUCACUUCCCACAAGACUGGUACUCACAGUUCUCAAAUACCAAAUACUGGUGACCUGGGAGUCUGGAGGGUGGGAGAAAGGAGUAGGAUGGUUUCCUCAGCUGGUAAAAGAGUUCUGAGUAUUCUGAGUUCGCCUGUGAGGCCACUCCGCACACAUGCUUGGUUUAGUACGUUUCACACUUUCAGAACUCUGUUGUAAUUACACACGUGCACUUGAUCCUGAGACGCACUGGUACAUCAACAACGGGCUAGGUAGGUUGAGGAAGAAGCUGGGGAUUGGGGUGACCAGGGCUUGGCAAACUGAUGUGGCUGCACAGCGAGCUCCAGGAGGCUCUGAGGAUCCACACCUGAGGAAGUCAGAUCUGGUGGGUGGCAACCAGGCUUCCUGCCAACGUUUGUUGGGCCCAGGUAACAACACAAAUAGAGACUCAUGUACCAUAUGUCUAAAUAAUUAAAGUGUAAAAUCAAGCUAGCAAACGAUUAAAUAAAACACAUCCUAACUCUCUGCUUUAACUAGUUUCAUCACAACAAAGAGAACAUACUUUCAUGACAACAAAAUAAAAAAAAUCCAUAAAGCUGUGGUUUUUAAAUGAGUGAAAGCCAGCAAAACAGCAAAUACGAUUGAAUGUAAUUAUCACUGGAAAUGUAAACUCAGGGAAUAUUAAUUUCAAUUUCCUUGGGUUUUUUUCUUUCUGGUGGUUCAUCAAUAUAUAUAUUACUUGUUUGCAUGACUUUUGAAAUCUAAUAUAUUACUUUUAUAAUAAUAAAGAAAAAGAAAUAUACUACUUUUGAUUAUAGUUUGUAAUAUAAUCUAAUUAAAUUGAGUAAGAUUUACUUCUAAAUAUGUUGUGUAUGAGUUCUCUUACUUUAAAACAAAUUAAUAAUCUCAUUUUGC
ensembl:lncRNA